CCUACGGGGGGCUGCAGUAAGGAAUAUUGGUCAAUGGAGGAAACUCUGAACCAGCCAUCCCGCGUGAAGGAUGAAGGGGCUCUGCCUUGUAAACUUCUUUUGUCUGGGGCGAAAAAGCUCGAUUUAUCGAGAACUGACGGUACCAGAAGAAUGAGCACCGGCUAACUCCGUGCCAGCAGCCGCGGUAAUACGGAGGGUGCAAGCGUCACCGGGAAUCACUGGGUUUAAAGGGUCUGAGGGCGGCAUUGUAUAAAGGCUGUGGCUUAACCAUGGAAUUGCCAUUGCUACUGCAGAGCUUGAAUGAGGUUGAGGUUGGCGGAAUGUGACAUGUAGCGGUGUAAUGCUUAGAUAUGUCAUGGAACACCGAUUGCGAAGGCAGCUGACUGGACCUAUAUUGACGCUGAGGCACGAAAGCGUGGGGAGCGAACAGGAUUAGAUACCCCUGUAGUC
rnacentral:rRNA from 1 species